CCUACGGGAGGCAGCAGUGGGGGAUAUUGCACAAUGGGGGGAACCCUGAUGCAGCGACGCCGCGUGGGUGAAGGAGCGUUUCGGCGCGUAAAGCCCUAUCGGCAGGGAAGAAGGAGGACGGUACCUGACGAAGAAGCCCCGGCUAACUACGUGCCAGCAGCCGCGGUAAUACGGAGGGGGCAAGCGUUCUCCGGCUUUACGGGGUGUAAAGGGGGCGGAGACGGCAGCGCAAGCCAGGAGUGAAAGCCCGGGGCCCAACCCCGGGACUGCUCUUGGAACUGCGCGGCUGGAGUGCCAGAGGGGCAGGCGGAAUUCCUGGUGUAGCGGUGAAAUGCGUAGAUAUCAGGCGGAACACCGGUGGCGAAGGCGGCCUGCUGGACUGCGACUGACGUUGAGGCCCGAAAGCGUGGGGAGCAAACAGGAUUAGAUACCCCUGUAGUC
rnacentral:rRNA from 1 species